rnacentral:rRNA from 1 species
UUUUAAGAGUUUGAUCCUGGCUCAGGACGAACGCUGGCGGCGUGCUUAACACAUGCAAGUCGAACGAAGCUUGAUUACGGAUUCUUCGGAUGAAGUAUGAUAUGACUGAGUGGCGGACGGGUGAGUAACGCGUGAGUAACCUGCCCUUCAGAGGGGGAUAGCGUUUGGAAACGAACGGUAAUACCGCAUAAUGUAUUUUGACCGCAUGAUCGAAAUACCAAAGAUUUAUCGCUGAAGGAUGGACUCGCGUCUGAUUAGGUAGUUGGUGGGGUAACGGCCUACCAAGCCGACGAUCAGUAGCCGGACUGAGAGGUUGAUCGGCCACAUUGGGACUGAGACACGGCCCAGACUCCUACGGGAGGCAGCAGUGGGGAAUAUUGCACAAUGGGCGCAAG